GUUUCUGAGCCGCGAGUAUAUAUAGGGGAGGCACGACAACGCAGAAAACAGACGACAACAGGAGCUGGGAGAGAAUCCCCGCCGUGCAAGCGCUUCUCGGCGCUGGCGGGGAUGGCUUGUCUGCGAUGUUGGGCUGGAGACGGAGCAGAAAAGUAAUAAAAAGAGGAUGGAAGGGCACUUGACAAUUAAUGCCUCUGGCUGCGGGAGACAUGAAGUACAUGGCACAUUGGUUUGUUGGGGCCUUUGGGGAUUGCUCUCGCACAUUGGCCAUCUUAACUGAUCCUGAUGCCCGAGGUCUUAUUGUCCAGGCUGUCUGGGUGACACGUCGGUAGUCAACUUGUGGUCUUCGCGUCUUUACAGUUGUUGCUGCCACCAUCCUUUUUCCUAUGGCUCCAUAUAACUUGCACUCUUAAGUGUAAUCAUUAUUAAAGUAGACUAUGGUUGGCCUACACUGUUACCUCAACAAUAACAAGUGAUGUCUGCAAAUGAAAAAAAAAAUUAAGGUUUAUCUGGUUAAAUGGCUUGAUGUGCAAGCACAUCAAAUGUCAUCACAAAAAGUAAUAUAGCUUGAUAACUAUAGUGUAAAAUUUGGAGCUGAAAGCUGCAGAUGGGUCAAUUUAAAAUAUGUUUCAGUUGACAUUGUGGCAUAUUUGGCUUUCAUAAAAUGUUCACAUUACAUAUCUGCAAAGUGCUUAAUGAGUUACUACAUGUACAAAUCAGCUGUAAAAUAUGUUCAAAAACCAGCUGACAUUUUGUCUUUAAUGUCUUACUGUUGGGCUUUAUGUUGUUGCAUGAUUAUAUAACAUUGCUAAAAAUGCAACAGCAAUUGAAAAUUUUGGAAUUUAGCAUAUAUUAGGUUGUGGUUGAUGCUUUUUUCUUCAUAGCAAUUGAUCCCUACAGCUUUGGGGCAAAUUGAAAUAUUUUUGAAUGCUGUACAACAUGGCACUCCAUAAGAACAGUUACCUAAAUCUUCAGUAACCAACAAGGACGUACAUUUAAGAAGUGGAAUUGUAAAAAGCAUCAAUUUGCUACCAUUUGGGAAAAAAUUGGAUUUUCAUAAUGCCACACUCAAAUGGGGAUGGAGUAUCAUUUUUCUGGAAAUGCAAAACUUGUCAAGACACGCGAGGCACCAAAAGGUUGAUAUACCUUCAACUUGCAUGCAGAAAACACUGCAGAUGAUGUUUUGCACGUGCUUCACCAUCAUACAUACCUGAGUACUGUAAGCAAGUACAGAUCCCAAGGCAUUUCAUCGGCACAUCAUUGGCGAUGGAAGCACACAACACUAUGUAAAGGGGGAUCAUUAUCAUUAGUAAGUAUUCUUAUGGGCAACUGUUAGAUUUUGCAAAUCUGUUAAAGUAUUUCCAAUAACACCCAGUUCAUUUCACAGGUCAAGAAAAAAGUUUAAAUCAAGAUGAGCAGAUGCUUGAAAAAUUUUCUUGCAAUAAAAAUUACCUUAAAGAUGAGCAUGAAUAAGUAUUUUUACAGUACUGUCUGUUGGCUUUUAAAUUAGACUCUAGUGACCAAGUUUUUCUCGAGUUCAACCUUUCUGUAUUGCUGUGAUACAAUUUUUUUUUAAAUAUAUUUUUUGGGGUUGGGCUUCAAAACUUAUUACCAUUGUUGUCUGUAGAUAUUUCGGUUGGGGGAGUUCUCUGGCUUAGUCUAUACAUGUUGGGUGUCUUCAUUUAUACUUUUGAUUAUUGUGUAAUGUGCAGUAAUAUCUGAAGUUAUUGUGGCUGGUAUUAGUAAGAGAGUAAUUUUUUUCCCCGCUAAAAUGCAGAUAAUAUCAAUUAGUAUGGUGGGUCUUCUGUUAAGUCUUUAUCCAUCAGCAGUAGAUUUCCACCUGAAGUGCAGUAACAGUGGUCUUUUCCUGCUUUUUGGGUAUGGGCUAGUUCGUCAACACCAUCAGAUAGGAGAUUGGGUGUUGGAUUUUGUGUGUGUGUGCAUUCUAGUCAGAUAGCUCUUGUGGUGGGUUUUUUUUUUCUUUGUUCAGCCUGUGUGCUGGGUUUCUGCUGUUGUAAACGUUAUCAUUAGAGAAUCUUUUCUAAAGCCGUUAAGAUUAGUCAAGAGAUUGUCUAAUGAAAAAAUACCUAUCUUGGACAUGUGCGAUAGCUUUUUUUUUAUUUUUAUUUUUAAGGCUUCACAUCAUGUGUUUGGCACAAUGGGGUAUUACAAGCUGGCAGAUUAAGAUGACCUGAAGCCCGUCGUUGUUGCAGUUAAUUCCACUUGGAUUAUCUAGAAGUAGUAGUGGCACUGCUUUAAAAUGGCACGUACCUGCUUGAAGCAUCAUGAGCUGAAUUUGAAGUCGUCUAGUGGAUGCAGUCCAGUGCAUUUUGUAUUUGGUGUGAGAAGUAUCGUUCUGUGGUAUUCAUUUUCUUAAGGAUACAUGAUGUCAGAACAAUUUUUUUUUGUCUUUUGAAAUUCAUAAAGACUUUUCUGGUAUGUCUUCACUUAGUUUCUGAUUAAUCCUUACAGAGCUUAAUAGUUCAUACUCUGAUAAGUUGAUGUACAUGACAUGUGUGUAUAGUGGCAUGGGCUAAAUUCUUUUUUAGGCUCUACAUGCUGCAACUCGUCCUUGUGCAAGGCCUGGAUGUUCGAUACCAGUCUUGGGUCUACAGAGUACCUGUUAUGAGCUCAUGAAAUCAUUCAUCUUUGGACAUCCCCCUUAAUCUUCGCAGCUUGUGGGCUUGCCUGACCCAAAUUUCAGUCUUUUCUUAAAACCACAGGUCAUCUUUACCUUGUCUAAGGACUAAACAUGUAGAAGGGCACAAUUAUGUUCAGAGCUGACCUGAAGUUGCCACUACAAUGGUAUCUUAUAGCUGUCUGGAAUGAGUAUCAUCUGCAACUGGGUAAUUUGUAAUUUAAUUUCAUUUCAUGGAAAAAGUUUCCAUUAAAAUCUUCAAAUAAGUGAUUGACAGAAAGAAUUAGUCUUCUGACAUGGCUAGUAUCACAACAAAGCAGUUUCAAGCUUCUAACAUCAAAAUUUUUUUAGGCUUUUUUUUUUCCUUUUAACAAGAUGUGCAGUUUAGCUUGGGCUUGCCAUUUUUUGUUUUGUUUUUUUAGGAUCUUGAUACAGGAAAAAUGUGCAAGUCAGUUACCAGUGUUGGACAACAUGCUGGCUGAUGUAAAACAUUUAAAAAUAAGGAAGCGCUAUUUUAGACCUGAAGGUACACUCCAUGGGCCCAUAAAAACUGAAUCUGCACUGGGCUUGAGCUUUGCCGGUCUGAAUUUUCUGUACAUGCUAUCGUGUUCUACCCAAGGACCCAGCCUUGUUAGAGUGGUCAGUUCUAAUGUGGACCUGUUUGGUAACAAGUGUCGUUCUCUAGUUUAAAAAAAAAUAGUUUCAAGGCCACUGAUAUUUUUGCUUUUUAACCUGUUUAUAUGUGUACACUAUAAAGUUAGCAUGUACAGUUCCUUUUUAUUCCUUAAGCAAGUGUGCACUGAAAGGGCACUGAAGUAUAGUGUUCAGUUACCUUCAAUUACCAUUUAAUCAGACUUUGAUAUCGGACAAUAUCAGUCUCAGUAAAGACACACCUUUUGUAGAUAAUUUGGUUUCUAAUGUGGAAUAGUUUGGUUUUUUUUUUUUUUUGUCUGCCAUUCUUUACUGUUAGGUUUUAAUGUUCUUGAGCUCAUUGCAGUUUCAAAGUUAUUUUUCACAAAGAUUACCUGGAGGUCUGUGGCUGUAGCCAGCUUUUUAAAAUCAUUCUCUUCAUAUUGCCCAGGAGCUCUUCUCUGUACAAUCAUCCUGAUGUGGACUUCAGAGCCUCUUGAUGUUCCAUGGCAUCCCCAGCUUGAGCACUUCUGACAGUCCUGUUGUCUUAACCUGCAUUUCUUGGGGGCAAGCUGCCGUUCAGUACCACUUUAAAAAAUUUUUAAUCAUCCUGAUGUGGACUUCAGAGCCUCUUGAUGUUCCAUGGCAUCCCCAGCCUCAGCACUUCUGACAGUCCUGUUGUCUUAACCUGCAUUUCUUUGGGGCAAGCUGCUGUUUAGUAUCACUUUAAAAAAUGAUUAUAAAUGAUAUUUUAAAUGAGCUAAGCAUUCCUGAUAUUUCUUCAGUUCAUUAGGAAAUAAUUCAAAAACAAUUUUACUCCAUGGCCUUGGUAAGGGCCACAAUAACCCUUUUGUAUUUGAAUGGAUAAGCUACUGUCCCAUGCCACAAGUGUUGCUGUGCAAAAUGGUUUUGGUUCGCCUGUUUGGUAAGCUACUGCAGCUGUUCUACCAAGGAAAUGGUCUUCUCGUCCGUGAGAUAUCCAUGGAAACUGGGUUCUGCAUUUUUUCUCCUUAACUGCGCACAUUGUCCAUCAAUUCUGGCUUGGUUAUCAGUAAGUCUGUAGUAUAAUUAGUCAUCUUUAUUUCUUUUUAGUUUACAUCUGUUUAAUGAUCAUCACUUAAGAGUUUGCAAUACACUGCAACUUGUAUGCUUCUGCAUUUGUUUAAAGUAAUUUUAGGUAGCAAUUCUCAUCUGAUGGGAAACUAACAAACUAUACAAUAUUUCGCUGUAAUCAAUGGAGUAAUGAUGCAGCUUGUGUUACCCUGUUUAAAUAUAGAGGUCCUUACCUCCGUGCCCCAUGAGUAUGGGUAUAGUGUCGAUUGUUCAGCUAAAGAUUGCACAUUUGUCAACUAGGAUCAACUUCAGUCUAUAAGACUGCUAGUACCAAUCACCUUGAUGGGAGAAAACAUUUCCAGGCAUUUCAGAACUACUGUCAAACUUUAGAGCACAAUAUAACCCACAUUUUAUUAAGAUAGUCCCAUGAUGCCAGAAACCACCUUUUAGAAUUUUUCUUAAACACAUGCUGUUUGUACUAUCUGUAGCUUUCUUCUCUGGAAAAUGGCAAGUGGUUCUCAUCAAAUCUUACAUGCUUUGACAUUAAAUCUUGCUACUUGAAAGCAGUUAUUCCAAGAAUGUAGAUAAUCCAAGCUUGAAUGUGCUUGUUGCUGUAUAACUUUCCCCCCAUGUCGUGCUUUUUUCUUUGGCAGCAUUUUAGUAGAUAAACACCUGCAGCUGGGGUCUCAACAAACCCGUGUAACCCUCCUCUAACUGCUCUGGUUUUCUUGCUUCCUUCAUCCCCGAGACCACUAGGAUUUUAGUUGCUGGCAUGGUGUAAAACUCCAACAACCAAUCCAAGACCAAGCCUUCCAUGUUUGCAUCAGUAUUGUCCUCCUACCAGUACCAUCAAUCAACUCCUGUACAUCAUCCACGAACCUACCUUAUUGACAGGAAUGCCUGGAAACCAACUGUCAAGCCCUCUUACCUAGAAGAUUGUAAUGCUCAUCACUGCUCUGCAUGCAGCAUUUCACCUUUCCAUGGCCUGUCAUUUUUAAGUUUGCUCAACUCCAGCUUGACAAAUAGGUCUUCGAUUGUGAUGGCAUGAGACAACAUGCGCACCCACACCUCCGCAGGCUUUCCAUGCACGCAUCUGUUCUCAGUGUUGCUUCUAUCAGCCACUUCACCUGGCCUGUACUUUACACCAGUCUCUCGGUUGUUAUGACCAUGCCUUAGUAUUAUUGACCAACGCUUUUGUUGUCCAUAAUGUACCAUGCAUAUGGUUGCCAAAGACAGUUAAAAACAGUUUGUCCCUGGCCAUCAAAUACCUGACCAACUGAACCAACAGUUUUGGCGAGAUGUGCUUCACCCAUCCACAGCUCCCCACAGCAAAAAGGGCUCCGUUUCCUUCACCACUUAGUCUUUAUUCAGUGACGUCCUUAUAGCCUCAGUAAUGGGAGUUGGAUGAACUACAAGGAGUGUUAUAUUACUAAGUGGAACCAUAACGUGGAUAAUUGUAUUCAAGUUUGUCUUCUGAUCCCAGGCCUAGGUUAUGUAGAAGCUAACAGAAUAAUUUAAAGUGUGUCGUCUCUAGUUGUAAGGAAUAGCUUGCUAAGCCAGCAGUGCCAGCACUAAUGAAGCAGUUGUCUUAUAUUGGCGGUAUGAUAUGCUUGUCGAUGUUUUUUUCCCUAGGUCUUUCACUAAUAGUUUUUUCUUAUAUUGGCUAUUGUGCAUGCAACAGCGGCUUCUGUUUCAAGAUGUAUUCUAAAAACACUGAAAUUUUAAUCUGUAUUUUGUUCACUUCUGGGUUGUCUACGUGGAGAGUAUUGUUGUGCCUAUGUUAAACUGGAGUCAUUCAUUACUUCAUAUUAUUGUUUUAGGUUUUCACUGUGCUUGAAAUGACUGUAAUAUACAGCAAUUUGAAUUAACCAGCAGUUUGUAAUGUCAAAGGAAGAUAACCAUAGAUCACUAUUAUCUUUUUUAAGAUGCAUGGGCUGAAGCGAACAUUCUAAUGUGUGAUCUUUCAAUUUUAAAACUUAUUAUUUCUCAACAUUCUUAACUCAUUCUUAACCACAAUUGCAAACGUCUUUAUAACUACAGCUUGGUUGUAUCAGUGUACACCCAUAGUGAUUUAUUUUAAUAAAAAAACCUUUUAGUUGCAUCGGUGGUUAUUAAGAGUUGCUCAUCAUACAUCAGAGAUUGUGCAAACAAGAUGAGAGCAUAAUAUGCUCUAACAAAAGUCUAAAGCCUGCAUUUAUUGUAAAAUGGGAGAUGUAAUUUUGUUUCAUGGCAACUUGUGGUUGUCAAUCUUGUUAGUCAUUUGUCCAUGAAAUGUUUUUAACAUCUGUUAAAUUCUAAUAUUCUUAAAACAAUCCCAAAUUGGCUUUUGGUUUUGUUUCAGUAAAAAGUUUUUUUAAGACCAUAUUUGGACCAUAAUUCAUAGCUGUUAACAUCAGUCUGUCAGGGGCAGUUUAUAAAAUCCUUAGAGGACUCUGCAUCGAUCAUUUCAUGUGCUAAAACACAUUAACUUUGAUAAAAAGAUUACAUUGGAAGUUCUAAACAUAUGGCUUUGCAACAAAAUAGUCUGUUGUGAAACAAGUCCCCUUGCUAAGACUGGUCGUAACAGAUAAGUUUGAGGUGCUGGCUAAAAAGCAUGUUAAAAACAUAAUUCUCGAAGAAUAAAAGUGUUUUUGUUUCAAUGCUGAAAUAAGAAAAGGGCAUUCCUUUUCUUCAACUGUGUUUCUGGGGGAACUCAAGGGCACUAGUAUCCAAUAAACAGGAUUCUCUGAACUUAAAAGGUUUUCACAUUCGUACAAAUUUUGAAUGAAUGUCGUGUGUUAUGCAAAAUCAUUCUGGCAUAUUGACAGUUGUUUUGACUUUGUUAUAUAGAGCACAUGGUAGAAAAAUGGAACAGAUGUGUGCUGGGUAAACCUUACCAAAAUCUUUCCAUAAGAUCAGUUAUUCUUUAAAAAAAAUUUAAAAAGUGCACGUGAUGACAUACACAACUGCUUUCACAUGUAUAUACAGUCUGGAUUAUUGUUCCGAUCCUUUUAUGCUUCUUUAUUUGUGCUUAGUUCAGUCUUUCCAGAUCUCUUUCUGUAUGUUCUUUUUUUAAUCCCUCAGCACGCGAUUUGCUUUUGACAAUGGCUACCUGUGGGAAAUAUGACUUAAUCUCUAUUCUGAGAUGUUGGAGAGAACAUACUCUUUCCUGCGCAAACAAGAAAAAAGGUGUGAGAAAAGGUAUAAAUAGCUAGGAAUCUGCCGUUAACAAGUAAGACAAAAUGUUUACUAAUUUUACGUGGAAAUCCAUGUUAAAUAUUUUUGCUGUUACUACCGAUACCAAAUUUGCUGGUCAAUUAUUGAAUUUUAGUUACAAAAACUUCCUACACCAAAAAAAAAAUUGUUAAAGAAUUUAUGCACUUACUGUCAUCUAUAUGAUAAAUUUACAAACUUGAACUGCUUUGUUAAGAGAGCUGAACAAAAUUUUUUUAAUAAUGCAAACAGCCAAGUAAGUUUAAUUAUGGGAUUAACACUUUGUUUUUGUGUUAUACACAUAGGAAAACAAACUUAGAAUUUUUAACCCUGCUGUGUCCGAGUUGUCUGUUAAAAAUAAAAUUUGUUCAUAAGACCAUAAGGAAAUAACUACCUGUACAAAUGAAUUUUUUUUGGCGGGGUAUGCAAAAUUAUCAUUUUAAUUAUUGCAUUGUAUGUUCAUUAGUCAAUUGUGAGUAUUGUAGGAACAAUACAUUGUUGAUGUUAUGUUGAAUUAUGAAAACUCAGACUGUUUAAUUAGAUGACAUUGAACUUCCCAAAAUAUGACAAAUAGAAUAUGGAUAAGAAAUUAUUAAUGUAGUGUGGAGUUGAUGCUACAAGACUUGAAGUAUGCUUAUAUAAAAAGUGAAGUCUUAAGUUGACUAAGUCAUGUGGCAAAAGCUUACACUGGUUGGUUGAAAUCGCAAUUCAAGCUUGUUGAGGCAAGUUAAGAAAGCACUUGUUGAGAUUUGAGUUGAAAUCACAAUACAAGAAGAUGGUGGAAGCUUGUUAAAAAUUAAGAAUGUAAUUGCUUGGUUGAAAUCCCAAUAGAAGAUGGUUGAAUCUUGUUAGAAAUUUAUAUUGUUGAAAAUGAAGAAAGCUCUUGCAGGGAUUUGUGGUUAAAAUUCCAAUACAAGAAGAUGGUUGUAGUUCAAAAAUUAAAUUUAGUUGAAAAUUAAGCACUAGCUGGGAUCUGUGGUUGGAAAUCCCAACUUAAGAAGAUGGUUGAAGCAAGUUAAACAAUUAAGAAAGAAAGCACUGGCUGAGAUUUGUGGUUGAAAUCACAAUACAAGAUGGUUAAAGUUUGUUAAAAUAUUUAAAUGGUUAAAAAUUAAGAAAUCUCAUCAUUAUUUUUUUUUAUGUUUAUGUUAAGUCAGUACUUUGCAUUUGGCAUAACAUGGACAAUUGCCAUGAUAUAUAGCAUUCACAACUUUAUUACUCCCUUUCCAUGCACUUAAAAAUGUUAAAGCUUUGCUGUCACCAUACAUUCACGGAGUGAAAAUGUUAAUAAACUAUUAAGAUUUAUUCAUGUUGAUAUGCAACUCGUCAAUAACACUUAAUAAACAGCAUUUGAGUGGUACUUACAGCAUUCUUUCUGCUUGGAAAAAUUGAGGAAAGUUGAUGCAUUGCAAAUUAUUUAUGAUAAUUUACUUUGAUACUAAAGUAUCUUUUUUUGUUACAUCAUAUUUCAGUGAGACUUGCAAGAACAAAGUGUAUGUAAUAAAGCUUAAGUUGUCUUUAGUGGGGGUCAAAAAAGCUGGUAAUUAAAAGUGUACUGUGAUGUAUAAACUUCCUUGUAAAUAUUCUGGUGGAAAUCUAGAACACUGUCAUUUAGAUAAGUACAGCUUUCAAAAUAUUUUUAUUAGAUAGGUAAUAUGUUAGCUAGUUGAAAAAAGUAAUAGUGGGUUAAAAACUAUUAACAUAUAUAAAUGGAACUGUGUAACUACUUUGGGUGGUUUUGCAUAAAAUUUUGGACACUGGUAGUUAACAGUUAUGAGCGUAUAAAAUAAAGUUUGCUGAAAAAAGAAUUUAAUGAUACAUUUUCUACAUAAUAGUAGGCUUAAUGAAAAACGCAUGAUUUUGCAUGUACGGUGCUUGCUGUUGUCUCACUUUCUUAAAGCCUCUGUUGAUGGUAUAACUUUAAACCGAAACAGCCAAUACUGACCUGUAAAAAGUUAACUAUGACAUAUGGCAAAAAAUUUUAUCAAAAGCUACAUUUGACAGUUGAAAAAACAGUUGCCAUCAUGGUUGAACCAGUCCUUUUUCAUGGUAUGUGCUGAAAUCGCUGAGGAAAGUUAAUAUUUACUGUCAAUGAAAGCCUCUGACAAAAUGUGAAGAAAAAUAUGAUCUACACAUAAAGUUGGUGCAGAUUUUUGAAAAAACAACCUGUGUUUGGAGGUAUUAGACAAUGUGGAGAAAUUUUGAUAAAUGCACUCAUGGAACAGGCACCAAGUUUUGCACAAGAUGGAAAGGAAAUAAUCUGACGAUAACGAAGUCUUUUAACAAGAAGUCUGACGAAAGUUUUCUUCGAAGCAGCAAAAAAAAUGUUAUUAGCAUUGAGCGCUGCAUGAUCAUCCAAGCUCUGGAAAAAACGGAAGACACCCUAACACUUCAGAAAAAGGCAGAGAUGGCAGAAAUGACCAUUUGCCAUAUUUGUAUGACUACACAGAGGUAUUUUAUUAAUAUUUAAUAGUGUAAAAGAUGUUGGAAUAAUUAAAUUGUGCAUUUGUGGUGAUAUGGAAACCUUUGAAAACAUCCUUAUGCUUACAUAGAUCUGUUUUUAUUUUCUUUCAAUCUUAUCUGAAGAUGUAAGAAGAAAUCAUAAUUAUUACAUAAAAAAGUAUUUCAAUCACAACUAAUGAAGUUGAAAAAAACAGUGAUAAAAAUAUUGCAAUUUGUAUGAUCUGCCUGAGCUGCCACAUUUGACAAAAAGUAAAGUUAUAUAGUACUCAGGUAGUGAGACUGAGUUGUAAGAUUUUGCUUAGUGAAGUAGAAAAAAAAAAAUGCUAAUGCUGGUCAUUUGUCAAAAUGACAAAAUAUGUUGAGUGCUUUUUUACCCCCCUUUCUUAUUAAGAGUGGAGAUACGUACAAUGUAAUUUCCAGCAUAGGUUUUUAUUGAUAGUACUUUAAAAGAUCGUUUUGGGCUACGACCAUUUGGGUACUUACCAUGCACUUUUUUUCUUAUCUUGAUAGGGUGGAGUUUAACCCAUGAAAUAAUCUAAUAGUAAAAGUUUUAAAAAGCUUUUGUUUGAUAGAGAAAAUCCAAUAACAUUUAGAUGUACAAUACAAUUGCCAGUAUAUGGUUAUUGAUGGGAUUUUAACUGUUGGGCUUUGAGCAUGUGGGCAGUCAUGCAGGGUGCUUUUGUUACUAAUUCAAAUUGAAAUACCAGUUGUCUAUGUUGAAUGGUUAUGUGUGCACAGUUUCAGUAGGACUUAAGGAGUGGUAGAACACUGCAUCCAAUGUCUUUACAGAUUGCUUUUGCAUUAGUGGGUUAGAAACACUAGCAUGAACUUAAAGCCAGUGUGCUUAUAGGAAACAGAUUCUGUAAUAGAUUUUAAUAGAUACUUCAGUGUGACCAUAUUCUCACUAUUGAAAGCUUAAUUUUAUGUUUUAUCUUGUGUUUGUUUGGUUUUUUUAUUUUUUUAUUUGCAUUAUCAGUAUAAGGUGUGUAGCAAUCACUGACAAACUUUUUGUAAGGUACAGCAAACUCACAUGGUACUCAUGCUCAAUAGUACCUUUUUACCCCAAGAUUUAUUGGCUUCUUUCACAAUGUGCUUAAGAAUUAAUGGUCAAAAGAAGAUACUUUUAGAUGAAAAAAAAUGUACACCAGAAAAGAUUCAGCUUGGACCUAGAAGUUAAUCAUCGGUUUGCCAAAAAUUGAUCACUACUAACUCCUUGUUAACAGAUCAAUAGUAGAUACUAUUAAAUAGUGCGGCCCUAUCUUCCUCAAGGAGUGCUUCAUUACCUUUGCCAUCCAUGAUGAGUUCUUUGGUUUUAGUUUCAGUAAUGGGCUUUUUUUUUUUUUAACUUGGUGGGGUUGUUAGCCCUACUACAACCUAUUUUACCUGUAGGUGAGGUGUCCACCUUAGUUGCCUCUUAACACAUGCCUGGCUGGAUGGCAGGGACCCUAUUCUUGUAAUGCUCGCUAGGCAAGCAUACCCCGGGUCCUACAGGGGUCCUCAAGGAGUAACAAGGAAUAAACUAACCAUUAAAUAGAAAAUGUCCUAAUGUUAAACCUAAUAUUGUAUGGGGAAAAAAUCCCAUUGUCCCUAAAGACAAGGACUUGGGAGACAUUAGAAAGUGCUGGGAAAAUAAGAAAUAACAAAAAAUAUUUACCUGAGACCUUAUUCUUUAGUGAUAUGUAGCAUUCAAAGCUCAGUGACUUGAGUUCCACUGCCUCUCUGUAACUUGUAAGCAAGAAAUAUCUGUUUUCAGUAGAAAGGUAAACUCAAAUAUAUACAAGAAAUGAGACCAUUUUUGAAUUGUUCAUAAAAUAGCUUUUGGUAUAUUGCAGGAUUUUACAUUCACACAAAACAAAAAGAUAUCACUAAUAUAUAUGAGAACAUACUAAUCAUGAUAAAGGUCUGAGCAUGAAUAAAGACUAUGAAUUACAUCGGUGAAAAUAUAAAUGCUAUAACCAUAAAAGCAGAUGGUGAUAAUUUCCAGCAGUGGCACUGAUAUUUUGUCUUAUUGACAUUAGAUUCUACAAUUCUUACAAUGUUUUCAAUUAUGUAUGUAGGUAUUAAGCUGUAGUUACCUUGUUUCAUAGGAAGUUUUUAACUUAAAUUUCUGCAUUCUUGCUUAGAAGUCUAGUACUUAUGUAUCAUGCAUGCAUCAUUUGCCAUAAAAGCUCAUGUUUACCUGAGAUGCAUAUUCUUUGACAAUAGCUGUCAUUGAAUAAUAAUUUUGGUAAGUUACCUUGUGAGCUUGUCUUAAGAAAAGGGCAUAGAACAAUGUGUAUUGCCAGUAAAUAAGAUGGUUAAAUGGUUACUAUAAUAAAUCUUUGUUUUUAAGAUUGUCAUUUCUCCUGGAUGUUCUGUAGUGAAAAUAAAGGCAUUUGACAUGACUGUGCUAGGCUUCACAUGCAUGCUACAGAUUUGAUUCUAUAACUUUGUUAAUAUAUUUUGCUACAUUCAGUUACCUGCUUUUCUAUGUAUGCAUGGUUGCACUUAAUGCAUAUUGAAAUGCUCACCUAGUUUGUGGAGAUAAUGCUUUCUGCCUGAAAUUCAAACCUUCAUUGAUCUAAAACAUCUUACAGUAUCAUCAAUUUAAGAGUACAUUUUGUUAGCGUUAGAUUAAUAUUAAUAUAUGCUUGACACUUAUAUUUUUUCUUUUCUAAUAAACUUAGUAUAGCAUCUCGGCCAAGUUUUUUUUUAAGGAGUAUGGAAGGAAGAGAAAAGGUAUUUCCUUUUACCUGAAUACUUUUUUUUACUAACACGAUCUUAUAAAGUUAUAUAGUUUGUAAUGGUGAAAAUUGGAAUGGUCUGUUAUUUCGUGUUUUGUACAGUAUUAGGCAUAAUAGACAAAAGUUAAUAUUUUAUGAUGCUGACCAGUUGGGAGUUUUUUUUUUUUUUGGUUGUUCAGAAAGGUAGCAAUAACCUAGAUUUUAUAAAUUUGUAUGGUUGUUAAUGAUGUCUGUUAUUGCUAAUGAUGUCUGCUGUGUCAGUGUUAUUAAAUAUUCUUCCCAAAAGCAUAUACAAUACCCUCCCCUCUUUUUUUGAAGACAUUUUUUGCAAAGUUGAACCUAAUAUUUAGGAAUGAUGUGUACUUUGUGAAUCCAAAAAAAUGUAGAUAAUGUUAUUAAUAUUUUUAAUUACAAAGUGUAUGUGAGACUAAGUGGAAGUAGGUAAAAUAUGAAUUGGUGAGAGAGAGAAGAUAAUGUCUUUUAAAAAAAAGGUGAAACAAUGUAGAAAAAAGAGUGACCAAUAAUUCACAAAAAUUUAGUUGAAAAAACAGAAAAUUCUUAGGUAAUAGCUACCAUGUAACCUGGAAUUAUGAAUGGAUAAAACCUAUGCUAUUUUGAAGUAUUACUAUUACACAGUUGGAAGUUGUAUUGAUGAGUUCUUUUUGUUGUAUACAAGUGUAGAGCAUCUGCAACAUAUUAAACAAGUUAAAUAAUAAUUUUAGAGUUUGAGAUUUCAGUAAAAAUUUUGCUUUGUUGACUGGUGAAUGAAUGCUGAACUUAGGUCUACAUGAAGUAGCAUUUAACUUCCCAACCAAGGACAUAAUUAGUUGAAUGGGAGAGUGCUUGGAUUUUGCAUUUGGUAUAUAUUGAGUUGUUGCCAGAAAAUAAAAAAUGGUUAACUAAACUAAAAUUGUUUUAGUGCAGAUGAUACUAAAUGAAAAUUUAUGGCGAUAUUUGUGUUAAGAGUCAAAGAUAAGGUUUGUACUGUGGUGUCUUGUGCUGAACUGUUGAGAUUUAAACCAAUUGGUAAGGUAACUUUGCUCAUAUAGAAAGAAUUAAAAGAUUUAUUAAACUAAGAUUUUAAAACAUUUAAGCAGUGCUAAGCCAAAAUGUAAUAUGUGAUUACUGUUACAAAGGAGAGUGAAUGUUAGACUUUUAAUAGUUCUUUCUGUCAUGAGAUUCUAAUAAAGCUGUCUGAAAUUUUAAAUCAGUAACAGAAGUGCGGGUAUUUUAACUGUUUCUUUACUCUUCGGUAAGAUUUGAUGUAAAGAUUGGUUUAAGUGUAUGUUAAUAUGGUAGUGUUAGAAAAUUUGUUCGAUUAUCGAAUAAUGAGAUAAAUACGUGUUAGCUGGAUUUAUUCGUGAGGCUGGGGUAGAAGUAAAUGAUAAAGCUUGGAUUGUGAAACAUUUAUUUAGUGGUAUUGUCAUUUAAGAUAAAUCCGACUAUCGAGGUAAAUAAGAACAAAUGUUGACUGAUUUUUAUCAGGGUACAAGGCCUUGCCCUUUUUGAUUCUGAUUCUUACAGCUGUUAUUGAUCUAUUGAGUUAUGCUUACUGAUGUUAUGUCACUUUAGCAGAGGGUAAUCAAACGCUUGUACUCUUUAUUUUUCUUUUCUAAGCUAACAGGUUGACAGUACUUAUAGCAAUGGGCAUGGGAAGCUAAGUAAAGGGGCGAGUGAGAAUAGCUCCUGACUUUCUCUAAACCUCUUUCUCUGUUGUAGGCAUCAUCUCAAAUGUAGGUGCCUGUAUUACGCAUAGCAAACAUAAUAUGUUUUGACAUAGUAUUGCUUCAUUUGCAAUCACUGCUAACAUCUUUUAUAUUAAAAAAAAAAGGUGGGGCAGCAUACCAGCCAAUUAGACAAUGACUGAAGCAGAAUAUUCCUACCAAGUUUGAUAAAGGUUGAAGAAAAGGUCGAUUUUUGCACAGUUAUAAAACAUUCACCAGUCAUGCACAUAACACAUCGUAAUUGCUUACGAUUAUUCGUGGUGAUUGUUCUAAUCAUGGCCAGCUUUAUAUGUUGCUUCUUCAUUAUAAAUUUACAAACUUUAAUCAAGAGCUCUUUGUGAAUUUAAUCGUGAAAUUUCAUCUUAUUAAAACAUCAUCUUUUCUCAAAAUUAUACUCUAUUCCUGUUAACUGUAGUAUGAUGCUGUGGUGUUUUAUGCCUUCUAAAUAUUUAACCCUGGUCAAUUAAACAUGGCAUUAUCAUGAAAUAAUUGGGAUAUUUCAAAUUAAUUUGCGAUGAUCCAUCACAUAAUCCAUGUGGCAGGUAUGAAUGUGUAAUGGUGAUGUUCAUGUAGGCUGAGUUGAGUUUUAUCAUAAUUGCUCAGUGGGUUAAUGUUGGAUUACGUUAGUAGAAUUGAGUAAAACAACCUCAUCUCUUAAAAAGUUUCCACUUUUGACUCAAUAAAUAUGUGAAUAGAACUAAAGCAAAAAAUAGUUCUGUGUGCAUGACAGGAUAAGCAAAGCAUCGAGUCACAUUUACAAGUUACAAAUUUAUGACUUCAGUACUACAAUUUUAUGACUUUAGUAAUAAUUGCUCUGGGUCACCUGGAGCGGAGUACAGCCAAUCAACAUCAGUGGCAGACUCUGGUUGAGGCGUUAUGUACAACCUGAUGCAUGAUACUCCCAAUAAGAAAGUAAAAUUUUUGUUAAAAGUAACAUAUUUAGUGAUGAAUUAUUACUCAUUGUUCUCAAUUAUUUACCGUAUUACUGACAUUGUUAUUUAGAGUGUACUCUUUACUCACACGUAAGAAUAUUUUGUGCAUUUAAUUUACUGUACUCGCACUUAAGAAUAUUUUGUGAAAUCAUCUAUUUAGAAAUAACAUUUUUAGUAAAUAUCACCCUUAAUCCUUGAAAUAGUGACAAGUAAAUAUUACUCAUUUAACUUACAGCUAAUCAUUUUACUCAAGUGCAUUCUUUACUCCGACUAAGAAUGUAAUAUUUUGUUAAAAGUAUCAUAUUUAGUGACUAUUAAUAUAAGUCAGGAAUAAUUAUUUCUUGUUGCACUCAAUGUUAAUUAUUUAAUGUUUUACUGACAUUUUUAUUUAGAAUGUACUCUUUACUCGCACUUAAGAAUAUUUUGUGCAUUUAACUUGCUGUUUAUCAUUUAACAUAAUGCCUACAUUGUUAUUUCAAGUGUAUUCUUUAUUAUCACUAAGAAUGUAACAUAUUUAGUGACUAUUAAUAUAAGUGACAAAUAAUUAUUACUUAUUGCAUUCGGUGUUAAUUAUUUAAUGUAUUACUGACUCUAAUUUAGAGCGUGUACUCUUUACUCGCACUUAAGAAUAUUUUGUGAAAUCCUAAACUAUAUAGAAGUAACAUUUUUAGUAAAUAUCGCCCUUAAUCCUUGAAUUAGUGACAAGUAAAUAUUACCCAUUUAACUUACUGUUAACUAUUUAACAUAAUGCCUGCAAUAAGGGAUGAAUAAUUAUUAGUCAUUGCACUCAAUACCAAGACUAAUCAUUUAAGAUAAUGACUACAUUUGUUAUUGCAAGUGAAUUCUUUACUCUGACAAAGACUAUAAUAUUUUGUCAAAAGUAGCAUAUUUAGUGAGAAAUAAUUAUUACUUGUUGCACUCAAUUAUUUACCGUAUUACUGACAUUGUUAUUUAGAGUGUAGUCUUUACUCGCACUUAAGAAUAUUUGUGAAAUCCUAAAUUAUAUAGAAAUAACAUUUUUAGUAGAUAUCACCGUCGGUCAUUGAAGGAGGGACAAGUAAUACUCAUUAACAUAAUGCCUACAUUGAUAUUUCAAGUGUAUUCUUUACUCUGACUAAGAAUAUAUGUUGUUAAAAAUAACAUAUUUAGUGGCUGUUACUAUAAGUGACAAAUAAUUAUUACUUAUUGCAUUCGUUGUUAAUUAUUUAAUGUAUUACUGUCUGUAAUUUAGAGUGUGUACUCUUUACUCGCACUUAAGAAUAUUUUGUGAAAUCCUAAACUAUAUAGAAGUAACAUUUUUAGUAAAUAUCGCCCUUAAUCCUUGAAUUAGUGACAAGUAAAUAUUACCCAUUUAACUUACUGUUAACUAUUUAACAUAAUGCCUGCAAUAAGUGACGUAUAAUUAUUACUCAUUGCUUUCAAUGUUAAUUAGCUAAUGUUGUACUGACAUUGUUUUGUAGAGUGUACUCGUUACGUGCACUUAGGAAUAUUUUGUGAAAUCGUAAAAUCGUAAAUUAUAUAGAAGAAAUAUAUUUUUAGUAAAUGUCACCGUUAAUCUUUGAAUUAGUGAAAAGUAUGUGUUACCCAUUUAACUUCCAGUUAAUCAUUUAACAUAAUGACUACAUUGUUAUUACAAGUGUAUUCUUUACUCCAACCAAAACUAAUCAUUUAAUAUAAUGACUACAUUGCUAUUGCAAGUGUAUUCUUUACUCUGACCAAGACUUUGAUAUUUUGUUAAAAGUAACAUAUUUAGUAAAAAAUAAUUGUUACUUGUUGCACUUAAUGUUAAGUAUUUACUGUAGUACCGACAUUGUUAUUCAGAGUGUACUCUUUGCUCGCAGUUAAGAAUAUUUUGUGAAAUCCUAAACUAUAUAGAGAAGUAACAGUUUUAGUAAAUAUCAACGUCAAUCAUUGAAGGAGUGACAAGUAAUACUCAUUAACAUAAUGCCUACAUUGUUAUUUCAAGCGUAUUCUUUACUCUGACUGAUAAUAUGUUGUUAAAAAUAACAUAUUUAGUGACUAUUAAUAUAAGUGACAAAUAAUUAUUACUCAUUGCAUUCUGUGUUAAUUAUUUAAUGUAUUACUGACUGUAAUUUAGAGUGUGUACUCUUUACUCGCCCUUAAGAAUAUUUUGUGAAAUCCUAAUCUAUAUAGAAGUAACAUUUUUAAUAAAUAUCGCCCUUAAUCCUUGAAUUAGUGACAAGUAAAUAUUACCCAUUUAACUUACUGUUAACAUUUAACAUAAUGCCUGCAAUAAGUGACGUAUAAUUAUUACUCAUUGCUUUCAAUGUUAAUUAGCUAAUGUAGUACUGACAUUGUUUUGUAGAGUGUACUCCUUACGUGCACUUAGGAAUAUUUUGUGAAAUCGUAAAUUAUAUAGAAGAAAUAUAUAUUUAGUAAAUGUCACCGUUAAUCAUUGAAUUAGUGAAAAGUAUUUGUUACCCAUUUAACUUACCCUUAAUUAUUUAACAUAAUGACUACAUUGUUAUUGCAAGUGUAUUCUUUACUCCAACCAAAACUAAUCAUUUAACAUAAUGACUACAUUGCUAUUGCAAGUGCAUUCUUUACUCUGACCAAGACUUUGAUAUUUUGUUAAAAGUAACAUAUUUAGUAAAAAAUAAUUGUUACUUGUUGCACUUAAUGUUAAGUAUUUACUGUAGUACCGACAUUGUUACUCAGAGUGUACUCUUUAUUGCACUUAAGAAUAUUUUGUGAAAUCCUAAACUAUAUAGAGAAGUAACAGUUUUAGUAAAUAUCAGCAUCAAUCAUUGAAGGAGUGACAAGUAAUACUCAUUAACAUAAUGACUACAUUGUUAUUUCAAGUGUAUUCUUUACUCUGACUGAUAAUAUGUUGUUAAAAAUAACAUAUUUAGUGACUAUUAAUAUAAGUGACAAAUAAUUAUUACUCAUUGCAUUCUGUGUUAAUUAUUUAAUGUAUAACUGACUGUAAUUUAGAGUGUGUACUCUUUACUCGCACUUAAGAAUAUUUUGUGAAAUCCUAAACUAUAUAGAAGUAACAUUUUUAAUAAAUAUCACCCUUAAUCCUUGAAUUAGUGACAAGUAAAUAUUACCCAUUGAACUUACUGUUAACGAUUUAACAUAAUGCCUGCAAUAAGUGACAUAUAAUUAUUACUCAUUGCACUCAAUGUUAAUUAUUUACUGUAGUACCGACAUUGUUAUUCAGAGUGUACUCUUUGCUCGCAGUUAAGAAUAUUUUGUGAAAUCCUAAACUAUAUAGAAGUAUUUUUAGUAAAUAUCACCGUCAAUCAUUGAAGGUGUGACAAGUAAUACUGAUGAACAUAAUGCCUACAUUGUUAUUUCAAGUGUAUUCUUUACUCUGACUAAAAUAUAAGUUGUUAAAAAUAACAUAUUUAGUGACUGUUAAUAUAAGUGACGAAUAAUUAUUACUCAUUGCACUUAAUGUUAAUUAUUUAAUGUACUACUGACAUUGUUAUUUAGACUGUACUCUUUACUCGCACUUAAGAAUAUUUUGCGAAAUCAUAAACUAUAUAGAAGUAACAUUUUUAGUAAAUAUCGCCCUUAAUCCUUGAAUUAGUGACAAGUAAAUAUUACCCAUUUAACUUACUGUUAACUAUUUAACAUAAUGCCUGCAAUAAGUGACGUAUAAUUAUUACUCAUUGCUUUCAGUGUUAAUUAGCUAAUGUAGUACUGACAUUGUUUUGUAGAGUGUACUCCUUACGUGCACUCAGGAAUAUUUUGUGAAAUCUUUACUAUAUAUAUUUAUAGAAGUAACAUUUUUAGUAAAUAUCGCCCUUAAUCCUUGAAUUAGUGACAAGUAAAUAUUACCCAUUUAACUUACUGUUAACUAUUUAACAUAAUGCCUGCAAUAAGUGAUGAAUAAUUAUUACUCAUUGCACUCAAUACCAAGACUAACCAUUCAACAUAAUGACUACAUUGUUAUUGCAAGUGUAUUCUUUACUCCGACCACGACUAUAAUAUUUUGUCAAAAGUAGCAUAUUUAGUGAGAAAUAAUUAUUACUUGUUGCACUCAAUUAAUUACUGUAUUACUGACAUUGUUAUUUAGAGUGUACUCUUUACUCGCACUUAAGAAUGUUUUGUGCAUUUAACUUACUGUGCUUGCACUUAAGAAUAUUUUGUGAAAUCAUAAACUAUAUAGAAAUAACAUUUUUAGUAAAUAUCGCCCUUAAUCCUAGAAAUAGUGACAAGUAAAUUUUACCCAUUUAACUUACUGUUAACUAUUUAACAUAUUGCCUGCAAUAAGUGACAUAUAAUCAAUGUUAAUUAUUUACUGUAGUACCGACAUUGUUAUUCAGAGUGUACUCUUUGCUCGCACUUGAGAAUAUUUUGUGAAAUCCUAAACUAUAUAGAAGUAUUUUUAGUAAAUAUCACCGUCAAUCAUUGAAGGUGUGACAAGUAAUACUGAUGAACAUAAUGCCUACAUUGUUAUUUCAAGUGUAUUCUUUACUCUGACUAAAAUAUAAGUUGUUAAAAAUAACAUAUUUAGUGACUGUUAAUAUAAGUGACAAAUAAUUAUUACUCAUUGCACUUAAUGUUAAUUAUUUAAUGUACUACUGACAUUGUUAUUUAGACUGUACUCUUUACUCGAACUUAAGAAUAUUUUGUGAAAUCCUAAACUAUAUAGAAGUAACACCAUUAAUCAUUGAAUUAGUGACAAGUAAAUAUUACCCAUUUAACUUGCUGUUUAUCAUUUAACAUAAUGCCUACAUUGUUAUUUCAAGUGUAUUCUUUAUUCAGACUAAGACUAUAUAAUAUUUUGUUCAAAGUAACAUACUUAGUAACUAUUAAUGUAAGUGAAGAAUAAUUAUUACUCAUUGUACUCAAUGUUUAUUGAAUUAGUGACAAGUAAUUCUUACCCAUUUAACUUAGUUAUUAUUUCACAUAUUAUUUCAAGUGCAUUCUUUACUUUCACUCGAGAAUAUGCAUUUGGUUAAUCACUUAAUUAUUAGAUUGAUUAAUUAUAGUGCAUUAAUUAUCUGAAUGUUAAUUUAUAUGAAAGUAACAUAAACUAGAAAAUUUUGUACCACAAUGUACCCAUUCUUCCGCCCCUGAUUUAUUUAUGUAUAGGUAGAACAAUAAGCUCACCUUUACAUAGGGAAAUGCAAUUUAUAAACUUAUUUUGACUUAAGUAGGUAAAUGGUCAACAGAACAAACUUGCACAUUUAUAAUAUUCUUACUUGAUGACUUCAUUGCAUUUAUGGAUAACUGUAGGUAGACAAAAAGGUCAGCACAGAGAAAGAACUAUGCAGAUAAGUAAUGAAAAACAGUUGUGAAAGAUGCAAUGAGAAAUCCAGGAACAAACAAUAAGGAUGGAUAGUGUCAUCAAUCUGCAGAGAAGAGGUUGACUUCAAUCAUCAAAACUAUUUACAACUUUGUUGAUGGAUUUAAGGAGUAAUGCUUGUGAAUAUGGUUCUUUAGUGCACAUUUAAAGGAUUUGAUAGUGGGUAGAUGGCUGAUAUUUAAGAGAAAAAUCCCACCAUUUUGCAGCACAGUAACUAAAGAUUUGGUUAUUAUGGUGACAGGGAUGGAGAGCAGACGACCAUCAGACAGUGGAGUAGUUUGGCUGAGAUGUAGAGGAAGAGAAGGUUAGAGAAAUAGUGCAAGUAGCCUACUAAGAAAGUAAAAACUGAAUGUGAGGUAUACAAAAUGUUGUAUUUCUACACUUUGCGCACAAAAUAACAUUCCUAAUGCAGAAGUGGCUUGUGGUUGAAACUGGCAUAAAAAGAGGGAGGAGAAAUGUCAUAACAGUGUAAAGGUGACUAGGAUUUGUUCCAAGAGAUUGCUACGCCUUCAGAAACGCCUCGAUCAGAAUGAUGGAUCUAACGUGUUUGACAGUUGUACCAAGUUAAAAUGUAAGGUUAUAAAAGGUUGCAAGUGAUGAAAUAUGAAGCAUUGCAGUCUGAAGAUGGCUGAAAAAGUUAAGAUAAAAUGAAAAAGUGCUACAAGUGAAAUGUAAUAUUGGAAAGAAUGUGACUUAAAAUGCAACAAAAAAUGCGACAUGAUGGAAAUCUUACUGAAAGAUUGAUAAUGGUCUUGUCAGAGACUGCAAACCAGUCUGUUGUGCAAUAACCUUGUAAAGGAUUAAAUGCAAAGAUUACAUGAACACGUGACAAAUCUGCAAAUUUGAGGUGAAAUUUAUCACGAAAACCAUCAUGUAUGAAUAAAAACAAAGAUCUUGUGAAGAUUGAGGCUUCAUACAUUAAUCUAAGAAGUUGUGCAAGGUCUACAAUACACAUGUAUCUUUUACGACUGUUGGAGUGUUGAGCUAAGAAAGUGCUAAUGAAAUUGAGAGCAUACUGAUGAUCAAUGAAACUCAAAUUGAAAGUGUAUUUUUGUGGAAACCGAACAAAGGAAUCUUAAAAAAUAAUAGUAGAUUAAGGGUCAAGAUUUAAAGUGAAUCUGCUGAAAGACCCAAAAGCAGACAUGGAAUUUGAUGUUGACCAAUCAAACAUCAUUGGAUGAUGAUGCUCAAGAAUUGACAUGAAGCAAAUGUGCAAGAAGUCCUAAGAUUUGUUGAAGCACAUAAAAAUUUGAUGUUGACCAAUCAAACAUCAUUGGAUGAUGAUGCUCAAGAAUUGACAUGAAGCAAAUGUGCAAGAAGUCCUAAGAUUUGUUGAAGCACAUAAAAAUUUGAUGUUGACCAAUCAAACAUCAUUGGAUGAUGAUGCUCAAGAAUUGACAUGAAGCAAAUGUGCAAGAAGUCCUUAGAUUUGUUGAAGCACAUAAAAAUUGGCAAAAUGAGGAAAAAGUGAAUGGGGAGAAAAGUGAAAAUGCAAAGCAAACCGGAAAGAAAUAAGUUUUACAGUAAACUGAACAAAGGGUCCCAUCUAAUGCAGAGUGAAACAACUAAGAUUAUAAUUUGUAUGUAAAUUAUGCAAAGGGACAUUGGUAAUAAUGUUGAGAAGUUAAAGAAUCAUGUUAAUUAUUGGCGGAUCAAAAAGAAGCCUCGAGCUAAGCAUGGUUACAAAAGUGAAGAUGAAAUUAUAGAAAGAUGGACAGAAAAUUAUGAAAAUCAUUGCAAACGAGUUCAGAAAUGAGAAAAAAAUUGGUAAGUUAAAGAAAAAUAUGUGAAAAAGCAUAGAUGUGAUGUGACCAAUAGUAUAAAGGCAAUCUAUGCACAAGUGUAUAUAUGAUGGAUAAACAUACAAGAAAUAGUAAAAAAUACCAAUGGGUCAAGUGCAAAAAACUGACCAAAUUGACAAAUUUAAGGAAAAAGAUGGGGGAAAAGCAUAAAUGUGAAGCAGCCAUAAGGCUAUCAACUAAGACAAAUGAUGCACAAGUGAAUGAUGGCUUUGUCAUGAUUUUAUGGUAAAAUGAACAAAAGUUAAAAUGUGAUUCAAAAUUAUAAGUUUGAAUUCUUAAUGCAGCAGUGUGAUGGUUAAUAGGAAAUGGUGAACAUGGUAUGGAUAAAAGUGUUUAUUAUCUCAAAUUUCAUAUUUUGGGGAUAAUGUAAAUAUGGUAAAAUUUAUGUGUGAAAAAUGUUGCUUGUGAUGUUCAUGACACAGCAAUUUGAAAGCAAUAAUGCGUGAUAUCCGUUGCUAAUUAGAAAUGAAAAUAGUAUAAGUCAUCUGUAUUUAAAAUACACACAAUUGUGUGUGCAUACAUGCUUCUUAGAAGGAGCCAUCAUGACCAUAGGCUUUAGCCAUUGACUUCUGAGUUUUAUUUUAGUUUUGUUCCAAGAAAAAUAUUUGGUAGUCUGCAUGUUCGGAUGUUUAAAAUUUACCAAAAGAAAUGGUGGAUUAAGAUGAUGAAUGCACUAAAUAGGUCUGACAUGAGAAGUAGUAAUUUUAAUAAAUCUUUACCUUAACACAAUUUUUAUUUUAGCAUUUGUAAUAAUUCGAACCUAGAAACAUUGUAUGUUUUAACUCUUGCAGCAUAGAGAGUGAGCUAGCCCUCUUCUUCUACACAAAAAAAAAACCCAACAAACCCAAAGGACUAAACAGAUGGAAAUUAUAAUUUUCUUAAUUCCUAAAACCCAUACAGAUAAAGAUGUAGCCAUAAAAAUUUCAUAUUAGCUACUGGUUUAGUGAUAUUCUCAUUAGGCAAAAUUAAGAGAAAAAAUUAACCAUUAGCACGAUGGGCCACGAUCGUGGCUUUGUCGGGAAGCACUGGAAUGGUGUUUUUUAUUACUUUUAUUGCAAAGUUCAAGUUUUAUCCCAGAGCAGUAAUAAUAAAAACAAACUUCACUCACUGUUAUCUUAACUGUCUUCAGUUAUAAACCUGUCAUUGUAAUGUUAUAUUUUUAUAUGGUGGUAAGAGGGUUAAUUACAAUGGUUAGAAACUUUAAUAUAAUAACCUCAGUUAAAAUUAAAGAUAAUUUGAACAUCAAUGGGUUCAAAAUACAUAAAAAAUCAUAUUGGUCAUUUAAACAUGUAACAAUGAGCACAAAAAAUACCUUAAUGGUACAGAAUUCAAAGCCAUGCUUGCAUUGAAAACUAUACCUUCCACCAGACACUCAAAUGACUUGAUAGAACUAUACUUACAAUUCUUACAUGGAUACCUAAAAUCUGUAGAUUUUAUUGUGUCUUUCAGUGUAGUAAAAAUGAUUGAACCUUAUAAAAAAAAAAAAAGGUCACAUUGUCGUAUUUUAUUUAACAUGCUGAUGCUUUUCAGUGCCAAAAGAUUUUCUCUGCCAAAAGCAAGAAAGUAUGAGCAAAAUUAGCCAACUUUGUUUUAGUAUUAAAAAAUGUAUUACAGGAAGACACAUUUUGUGUGUGUAGUAUAUAUGGUAUAUUAUGUUUACACAAGGUGACUGAAAUGGGAGAAGUCAGGUAAAUGGUAUAUGAGAGUUAUAGUCACUUCAAAGUGACAAAAAUGGAUUUGAGACAUAAAAAUUGAAAUGAAAAGAACUAGUUAGAAAUGGGUAAGGAAUGCAGAGCGAGUUAAUUGUUGUGCUAAAAAGAUAUGAAAUUGGGAGAAAUAUGCAAAGGAAGAAAAUUAUAAAUAUUUGAUAUGGAAUUGAACUAUUCUGGCAAUGUUCAUUAUCAGUCUUUCUGGGAUGGUGAAAACAAAUUUAAAUCUCUAAAGCACAAGAUUUUACAAUCAUAAAAUAUCCCAUGUAUAUGUAUAUGUACCUUAUUAACUCUUCUUCAUCUUACUAGUAUGCUUCUUCUCUCAUCCACACUAGUUUCAUUGUUUUUAUGCAAGCUAUUUAAGUGAAAUCAUGCAUAACAAUAUUAAUCCCAUUUGUCUUCUCCUUAACUGAGAUAAUAUUCACAUACAUCUUUUUAUUUCUGCAUUAUGCGCAUAUUAGGGUAAAGAUGCACAGAUAACACUGUUUAGAGAUCUAUCAGGCCAUUGCAUAACAAUACUAAUUAAAAAUUACAUCUAUAAUUGUGAAAACAGCAACAUGAAGGCAAAAUUAUGAAAGAAGCCUUGGUUUGUGGAAGAAAAUGAUGCACAUGGAUUGCUCUGUACUCUGCAUGCUGAUAAACAACGUAACAACAAUAACAGAGAUAGCAACUUGCUAAACUCUUU